AUGCAAGUCGAACGGCAAGGCAGGUGCUUGCACCUGCCCUAGAGUGGCGGACUGGUGAGUAACACGUGGGUGACAUGCCUUUAGUUGGGGAUAGCUACUAGAAAUAGUAGAUAAUACCGAAUGUGAUCAAUAUUUAUAGAUGAUGUUGAGGAAAGGAGCUAAGGCUUCGCUAAAGAUUGGCCCGCGGCCCAUUAGCUAGUUGGUAGGGUAAAGGCUUACCAAGGCGAUGAUGGGUAUCCGGCCUGAGAGGGUGAUCGGACACAUUGGGACUGAGAUACGGCCCAGACUCCUACGGGAGGCAGCAGCUAAGAAUAUUCCACAAUGGACGAAGUCUGAUGGAGCGACGCCGCGUGGAUGAUGAAGGCCGAAAGGUUGUAAAAUCCUUUUACACUGGAGGAAUAAGCAGAGUAGGGAAUGACUCUGUGAUGACUGUACAGUUUGAAUAAGCAACGGCUAAUUACGUGCCAGCCGCCGC
rnacentral:rRNA from 1 species